AGAAAGCCAUUUAAUCCAUAAACACAAAGACACAUAAGGAAAGAUGGGGUAACCCCUAAAGCCUGAAUGAGAAAAAGCUUCCAGGAGCUGUUUUUCAGAUACACCAACAUAUAUUUGCCAAGGGCAGGCACUGUGUUUCUCCAGGCAGGCGGUAAGGCCUUUGACAGGGUUUCCAGGAAGACACAUAGCAGCCAGAGAGUUGUGCAGCCCCAACCCUGGCUCCACACAGAGCAAACAUGUAACAGAUUAAAUAUUUAUCUAUUGUCCUGUCUACCUCAAUAAAAUAUCACACUCCUUUAAGCGGUUGCCUUAAUGACAUUUGUGUGUCUUGGAAUGACAGCCUGUGCUAACAAAUUGCAUCUCAAGAUGUGAAAACAUGAAGAUCAAUAAAAAGAAAUGAAAAGUCUGCUUCAUUGAUAAAACAUCAUUUAUCUUAAUAAUGGGUACUUCUCUGAAUUUCCCAAGUGCCCUUCCAAAUGCCAGUAUCAAAGCCAGUGCCCACAUGUGUGUAGAAAGUUCAGGAGGGUUCAGGGGAGUUGAGGCAGGAACACAGGCUGCUCAGCCCAGGGGGUCCACCGAGGAGAAGCAUCAUUCUGGGCCAGUCACCCACUGGACUGGUUUCCAACCAAGGAGAUUUCAAGCGGGGAUUUCCAAGCAUAUUUCUGGAAUUUCAAAACUUCCAGUGAAAAUAAUAUACAAUUGACCCUUGAACAACAAUGAUUUGAACUGGGCAGGUCCACUUGUUCAUGGAUUUUUGUUUUGUUUUGUUUUGUUUUUUUGAGACGCAGUCUUGCUCUGUUGCCCAGGCUUGAGUGCAGUGAUGCGAUCUCAGCUCAUUGCAACCUCUGCCUCCUGGGUUCAAGCAAUACUUCUGCCUCAGCCCCCUGAGUAGCUGGGAUUACAGGCACGCACCACCACACCUGGCUAAUUUUUUGUAUUUUUAGUACAGACGGGGUUUCACCAUAUUAGCCAGGAUAGUCUCAAUCUCCUGACCUUGUGAUCUGUCCGUCUCGGCCUCCCAAAGUGCUGGGAUUACAGGUGUGAGCCACCGUGCUCGGCCCAUGGAUUUUUUUUCUGCCUCUGCCACCCCUCAGACAGCAAGACCAACCCCUACUCCUCCUCCUCCUCCUCCUCCUCCGCCUACUCAAUGUGAUGACCAUGAGGAUGAGGACUUUAUGAUGACCUGCUUUCACUUAAUAGUAAAUAUAUUUUCUCUUGCUUAUGUUUUUCUUAGUAACAUUUUUUCUCUAGCUUACCGUAUGGUAAGGAUAUAGUAUAUAAUGCACAUAACAUACUAGCUAUGUGUUAAUUGACCGUGUUCAGUAAGGCUAUUAGUAUUAUAGUUACGUUUUGGGGGAGUCAAGUUACAUGCAAAUUUUCAGCUGCUCAGGGGUCGGUGCCCAUAUCAUUCAAGGAUCAACCGUACUUUCAUAUGAAAGUUGUUUCACCAAACAUUGUGAAACAUUAAGUGACCCCCUUUUGGUAGAUUUUAUAUAAUGUGGUGGGCAUUGGAGCAGUUAUAGUUCAUGCUGAUUAGUAUGAAUUUUGAAAAUGUAUUAUUCCACAUCCAGGAGGCUUGCUUAUAGUUUGUCAAGCCCACAGGCUGAAUGGUGGGAUUCCUGCUCCUGCCGUUGGUAAAACAGGAGUCCUCCUCCGAGGUGAGAGGGCUGGAAGCACUGGUCUCCAUGGAUCAGCGUUCUGGCCUGGUAGGCCCCUUAUUUCAUUCCCUCCACACAUGCAGCCUCGUCCACUCUGUCCAGUUCCCCUAGCUCUUCUCAGGACACAUUGUGGAGAGGCUGGGGGUAGUCCAGGAGUUCCUGUCCAUCAGCAGCAGCAGGUUAGGAGGAGCUAUGGGAUGCCCAGAGGUUGCUAAGACCAGAUUGGUGUUGGGGUGGGCAGAGGUCUGAUCUCCUCUCCUGGUCUCCUCCGCUCCCCAGCCAGGACCAUGGUAUGACAUGAGAAAGGCAACCCCAGACUCCAUAUUGCUGACGUAGCUUUCCCCAGAGUUUUCCUACACAGUGGGACAUUUAAAAAGGUAGAUGGCAACCUGUUUUUCAAAGGAGAAAAAUCAGCACUCCCGAUGCCUGCGAUCGGAUCCGUCUUCUCCCUCAUUCUGUGUCCUCUAGCCAUGCUGGCUUUCCGCACUCCUCUGGGGAGCCAGGUCUUCUUGUCUGGGGAUCCUCCUCCGUGGUGCGCCCUGGAGUGGCAGGCUUCUCAUUGGAGUAGCUCCACGACUGAGGGAUUACUUUAAAAUGCCACUUUGCCGGAGACUUCUCAUGACCUUAAAUCUACAUUAGAACUCUUUCAUAGAUUUUAGUACUUCUCCAUCGCGACAGUCACAAUUUGUAACUAACGUCGAUUCAUAGUUAUUUUUCAUCUGUCUCCCCUGCUAGCUAUAAUCUCUCACUCACCCUUGGACAUGCUGCACUCAACACAUACUUGCCGAAUAUAUGACUAAAUGAAGUCCUGAGUUCAGAGUACUCAUCCUAGAAAUUUCUCAGGGGACAGAUACAUCCUGUGAUCAAACAAGAUUGGGACCCAUCGUACCCCGUCUUCCCUUAGAAAGUCCUAAUACGCAUUAUGUAGGGGACUCUGAGGUGCGCUCCAACUAGAAAACAAAAAGCGUCAGUAAGCUAACUUUCUUCACCUCAUGUUUCCUAAACAUAUUUAAACGUGACUUUUUUUUUCAUCUAACAUUUACUAAUAUCCUGUAGAAUUUAUUUUUAAGAGAUGCUUUCUUGCAGGAUCCUACUGGGAAGCCUGAGGUUCUCAAGGUCAUCAGGCUUGGUUUGGGGGCAGCACCCUCAUGGCUGCAUUGCUGUUGUCAUGAACACGUGAACACGCAUGCACACGUUCACAUAUGCGACCACCACUGUAGUAAAGCAUGGGCUAUAAGCAGAGUUUGGAGCUAGCCUGGGGUUACAGUUUUCAGGGAGCAGAGAGUAAAAACACAGUCGAAACUCUGGUAUUUGUAAAUGUAGCCUUUGUAGUUAGGAUUGUGAGUAACUCAUACUGACUUUUCUUUUGGUAAGACCCAAAUCUGCAAGUAUUUGGGAAGCUGAUGUGUGGAGGCAGGUCCCAUAGGUGGUGAGUCAGUCUACCUACCCUACCCGGCCUUGCAGCUUAAUGCAGCUCUCUUGUUUUCAGCAGCUGCAGCAAUUCUCUUGGAUUUUCCAAUAGAGUUAAGCAAAUUUUUGGGGGAAAUGACACGCAAUCUUGGAAUUAGUGAAGAUUUCAGGACAUAUCCCUCUUGCCUAUCUAGGAUGUAUUAUAAAGGUAAGAUUCCUGAGGUGGAGCUCUAUUAAAGGCAGCGGAUCUCAAAUUAGUUUUGAUCAGCCUCCACUUAGGCACGGCAAAACUGUUUCACCUACCGACUCCAUCUAGUCUUAUUUUCCAGUGGAAAAAUAAAUGAGUGAUAAUUUGUGGGGAGUGGAUUAUGUAUACAUUUGUUCUAGCACUGGACUAUGGAUGAUUCCUAUUUGAACCACAAUGUAUACAUGUCUCAGAGUCUAGUUAUUGAAAAAUUACAGCUCCAGAAUACUGUUGAUGCAAAUAAGCUUCAAGUAUACUCUGUAGGGUUAACCAAGCAACCCACAACAAAACAAACUGAUGAUAAUGCAAGCUAACAGUAAUUCAUAAUUAAAAAGCACCAAUAGCAGCAAUUGAAAAUUGCAACCAACUCGAGGCAACACUGAUGAUGUGCUGAUAAAGAAGCCUUCUCCCAGAUCGGGAAAUGUCAUCUCUGUGCCUGCACAUGUGAAACUGGAGCCUUCUAAUAUAGCAGGCGAGCACUGCAUUGCUGGCAGCUAGACUUUAUAGUACAGUAUUAUAGCGUAUGUAGUAACCUUUGUGAUGCUUAGUGGAUUACAAAUUCGUAGUCCUGGUAAUAUAUAAAAAUGAAACCUUCAUCAAUCUGCAUACAAUUCACCAUAAGGUUCCAAAAGAGGACUUAAAAACAUUCGGUUCGAGGCACAUGAGGAUGCCUCUGAUAAUGUGCCCCAGCCUCUGGUCCUGCACCCCAUAGGUUUUAGACUCUACUUUUGAAAUCAUUGUCUAGGCAGCCUUUCCUCCUUCGGCUAGGGCUUUUUUCCUUUCCUAGCUCGAGCAGACUGGAGAUACGCAUUUGGAUUUAUGAAGUGCUCAGAUUGUUAUUUUAAAAUGUGAAAGGAGUUCUUUUUAAUACCCAGGGUAAUACAAUAUCCAAGAUAUAACAUUAAGUGAU
rnacentral:lncRNA from 1 species